UUAAUUUCAUUGAUUCUUUCAAAUAUUUUGAGCGACGAUGCUGGAGAUGAUAAACGUAUUGGCAAAAUCAAAAUAUUAGUUUUGAGUAUAUGAAACAGCUUAAAAAUACUUGUACUCUAAAGGCAUAGAUGGGUGCAACCACCUAACUGUUCUAAGACAGCCUCAAUUUGAUCGCCAUCUUCCAUAUCAAGCUAAAUGUAUAGUUAGUACCGGCUUUUGUUGUAAAAGUUUAAAACUUACCUCAGCAGGUGUUUGAUCUGGACGAAUACGUUCCCCAUCAACAAGGAAACGUAAGCUGUUCAUACUUUUUCCUUGUCGUGCACAAUAAAUCUUCAUUAACUUGCUGAACUCAGUGGUCUUUUUAAUUUUGAAAAAUACUUCGUUGUUAUCCUACAUCAAGUUAGCUUCACGAUUCGUGCAUUAAAGACUUUUGAAAGCAAAAGAUGACAGGAAUAGCAUGAAAGUCUCUUGCUGUAGCACACACCUGUCCGACAACUUUCAAAUUGAUAUGCUCUGUGGAUGGUUUGACAUCUUGUUGCGAAGUGUCACCUGUGGUAGGAGUGAUAGCACUUUUGUCAGCAUCAGAAAUGUUUGCUGAUGGUGAUUCAGACAUUUUUUCUCAGAUACUAUAUAAAAUCGAAUAUACAGGUACAGGGGGGUACAAUCAAAUUCUCAUAGAUCAGGAAUGACUGUUGUGAUUGUUUGAAGCAAGAAUAGCGUAAUGUGGUAUAUAAUAUAACGU